UUACUCAUUGUUUACAAAGAGGUUGAGCGUCCGCCUCGGAUGCGGGAGGUCGUGGGUUCGAACCACGGCUGAGUCAU